rnacentral:rRNA from 1 species
GCUGGUUCUCCUCGAAAUAGCUUUAGGGCUAGCGUCGGAUAUGUCUAGUGGAGGUAGAGCACUGAAUGGGCUAGGGGGCAUAGCGCUUACCGAACCUUAUCAAACUCCGAAUGCCAUAUACAUUUAGUCCGGCAGUCAGACUACGAAUGAUAAGAUCCGUGGUCAAAAGGGAAACAGCCCAGAUCGUCAGCUAAGGUCCCAAAGUGUAAGUUAAGUGGAAAAGGAUGUGGGAUUUCUAAGACAACUAGGAUGUUGGCUUAGAAGCAGCCACUCAUUUAAAGAGUGCGUAAUAGCUCACUAGUCGAGAGAUCCUGCGCCGAAAAUGUCCGGGGCUCAAACUUACCACCGAAGCUACGGGCUUGCGUAAGCAAGCGGUAGGGGAGCGUCGUAAUCGGGCUGAAGUCGUACCGUAAGGAGCGGUGGACUGAUUACGAGUGAGAAUGUUGGCAUUAGUAGCGAGAUGUAGGUGAGAAUCCUACAGGCCGAAUAUCUAAGGUUUCCUCAGGAAGGCUCGUCCGCUGAGGGUUAGUCGGGACCUAAGCCGAGGCCGAAAGGCGUAGGCGAUGGACAAUCGGUUGAUAUUCCGAUACCACUACCAUCGUUAUUAUCGAGGGUGUGACGGAGAAGGAUAGUGUGUGCUAGCGAUUGGAAAUGCUAGUCUAAGCGUUUAGGGAGUUACGGUAGGCAAAUCCGCUGUAACAAUUCUGAGGCGUGAUGGGGAAGGCCAUAUAGGCCGAAGUACAUGAUUCCAUGCUUCCAAGAAAAGCAUCUAGAGAGAGAAGUAGUGCCCGUACCGCAAACCGACACAGGUAGAUGAGGAGAGAAUCCUAAGGCCGGCGGAAGAAUUGCAGUUAAGGAACUAGGCAAAUUGACCCCGUAAGUUCGCGAGAAGGGGUGCCUGCGAGAGCAGGCCGCAGAGAAUAGGCCCAAGCAACUGUUUAGCAAAAACACAGGUCUCUGCUAAAGCGUAAGCUGAUGUAUAGGGGCUGACGCCUGCCCGGUGCUGGAAGGUUAAGGGGAACACUUAGCGCAAGCGAAGGUGUGAACUUAAGCCCCAGUAAACGGCGGCCGUAACUAUAACGGUCCUAAGGGAGCGAAAUUCCUUGUCAGGUAAGUUCUGACCCGCACGAAUGGCGUAAUGACUUGGGCACUGUCUCAACAAUGCAUCCGGCGAAGUUGUAGUGCGAGUGAAGAUGCUCGCUACCCGCGAUUGGACGGAAAGACCCCGUAGAGCUUUACUGUAGCUUAGCAUUGAAUUCCGGUAUUGUCUGUACAGGAUAGGUGGGAGACUGGGAAACUAGGGCGUCAGCCUUAGUGGAGUCAACCUUGGGAUACCACCCUGACAGUACUGGGGUUCUAACAGGACGCCAUGAAUCUGGUGACUGGACAUUGUUAGGUGGGCAGUUUGACUGGGGCGGUCG